UACGGAGGGAGCUAGCGUUGUUCGGAAUUACUGGGCGUAAAGCGCACGUAGGCGGCUUUGUAAGUUAGAGGUGAAAGCCCGGGGCUCAACUCCGGAACUGCCUUUAAGACUGCAUCGCUUGAAUCCAGGAGAGGUGAGUGGAAUUCCGAGUGUAGAGGUGAAAUUCGUAGAUAUUCGGAAGAACACCAGUGGCGAAGGCGACUCGCUGGACAAGUAUUGACGCUGAGGUGCGAAAGCGUGGGGAGCAAACAGG
rnacentral:rRNA from 1 species